AGAAAACCCUAUCCCCCAUAACAGAGGCAGCCCUAGGAAACCGAAAUAUCACAGAUACCAAAAACAUGCAGCGCCGCUGGACCUCCUAAUAGCCGAAGCUGGAAUGGUAAGAAGACAACGGAUGCUUCCACAGCUACAAGAGCCAACAAGCUUUGCUAAAACAACGUCUGGAGCUUUAUACCUAGGUAGCCACUGGACCUCAAAAUGCCCAACAUGCACAGCCAUGUUGUCGGAGACUUCCAGAGAGCAUAGUGGGUCUCUAAACUUGGUUUUGAAUUCUCUUAGAUUGCUUAGAAGCAAGAAAAAGUAGAACGAAGAUGAUUUCAAAUGUGAUGGUGAUGAUGCUUGAAGGUGCGGAGAAGAUUGAAGACUGUGCGUUGCUUAGUUUUAUUCAGGAAAUUACUUAUUUCAAAAUUUUAGUAGUUGUAAACUUAUAAAUAUGUUAUUAGGAUUUGGAGGAUUUGUAUUACUUAUUGUCUUGAAAUUAUUUUCGCUAUGCUGCGAGAUUUAAAUUUUAAA